GGUUAAGCGACUAAGCGUACACGGUGGAUGCCCUGGCAGUCAGAGGCGAUGAAGGACGUGCUAAUCUGCGAUAAGCGUCGGUAAGGUGAUAUGAACCGUUAUAACCGGCGAUUUCCGAAUGGGGAAACCCAGUGUGAUUCGUCACACUAUCAUUAACUGAAUCCAUAGGUUAAUGAGGCGAACCGGGGGAACUGAAACAUCUAAGUACCCCGAGGAAAAGAAAUCAACCGAGAUUCCCCCAGUAGCGGCGAGCGAACGGGGAGCAGCCCAGAGCCUGAAUCAGUGUGUGUGUUAGUGGAAGCGUCUGGAAAGGCGUGCGAUACAGGGUGACAGCCCCGUACACAAAAAUGCACAUAUUGUGAGCUCGAUGAGUAGGGCGGGACACGUGGUAUCCUGUCUGAAUAUGGGGGGACCAUCCUCCAAGGCUAAAUACUCCUGACUGACCGAUAGUGAACCAGUACCGUGAGGGAAAGGCGAAAAGAACCCCGGCGAGGGGAGUGAAAAAGAACCUGAAACCGUGUACGUACAAGCAGUGGGAGCACGCUUAGGCGUGUGACUGCGUACCUUUUGUAUAAUGGGUCAGCGACUUAUAUUCUGUAGCAAGGUUAACCGAAUAGGGGAGCCGAAGGGAAACCGAGUCUUAACUGGGCGUUAAGUUGCAGGGUAUAGACCCGAAACCCGGUGAUCUAGCCAUGGGCAGGUUGAAGGUUGGGUAACACUAACUGGAGGACCGAACCGACUAAUGUUGAAAAAUUAGCGGAUGACUUGUGGCUGGGGGUGAAAGGCCAAUCAAACCGGGAGAUAGCUGGUUCUCCCCGAAAGCUAUUUAGGUAGCGCCUCGUGAAUUCAUCUCCGGGGGUAGAGCACUGUUUCGGCAAGGGGGUCAUCCCGACUUACCAACCCGAUGCAAACUGCGAAUACCGGAGAAUGUUAUCACGGGAGACACACGGCGGGUGCUAACGUCCGUCGUGAAGAGGGAAACAACCCAGACCGCCAGCUAAGGUCCCAAAGUCAUGGUUAAGUGGGAAACGAUGUGGGAAGGCCCAGACAGCCAGGAUGUUGGCUUAGAAGCAGCCAUCAUUUAAAGAAAGCGUAAUAGCUCACUGGUCGAGUCGGCCUGCGCGGAAGAUGUAACGGGGCUAAACCAUGCACCGAAGCUGCGGCAGCGACGCUGAUGCGUUGUUGGGUAGGGGAGCGUUCUGUAAGCCUGUGAAGGUGUGCUGUGAGGUAUGCUGGAGGUAUCAGAAGUGCGAAUGCUGACAUAAGUAACGAUAAAGCGGGUGAAAAGCCCGCUCGCCGGAAGACCAAGGGUUCCUGUCCAACGUUAAUCGGGGCAGGGUGAGUCGACCCCUAAGGCGAGGCCGAAAGGCGUAGUCGAUGGGAAACAGGUUAAUAUUCCUGUACUUGGUGUUACUGCGAAGGGGGGACGGAGAAGGCUAUGUUGGCCGGGCGACGGUUGUCCCGGUUUAAGCGUGUAGGCUGGUUUUCCAGGCAAAUCCGGAAAACUAAGGCUGAGGCGUGAUGACGAGGCACUACGGUGCUGAAGCAACAAAUGCCCUGCUUCCAGGAAAAGCCUCUAAGCAUCAGGUAACAUCAAAUCGUACCCCAAACCGACACAGGUGGUCAGGUAGAGAAUACCAAGGCGCUUGAGAGAACUCGGGUGAAGGAACUAGGCAAAAUGGUGCCGUAACUUCGGGAGAAGGCACGCUGAUAUGUAGGUGAAGUCCCUCGCGGAUGGAGCUGAAAUCAGUCGAAGAUACCAGCUGGCUGCAACUGUUUAUUAAAAACACAGCACUGUGCAAACACGAAAGUGGACGUAUACGGUGUGACGCCUGCCCGGUGCCGGAAGGUUAAUUGAUGGGGUCAGCGCAAGCGAAGCUCUUGAUCGAAGCCCCGGUAAACGGCGGCCGUAACUAUAACGGUCCUAAGGUAGCGAAAUUCCUUGUCGGGUAAGUUCCGACCUGCACGAAUGGCGUAAUGAUGGCCAGGCUGUCUCCACCCGAGACUCAGUGAAAUUGAACUCGCUGUGAAGAUGCAGUGUACCCGCGGCAAGACGGAAAGACCCCGUGAACCUUUACUAUAGCUUGACACUGAACAUUGAGCCUUGAUGUGUAGGAUAGGUGGGAGGCUUUGAAGUGUGGACGCCAGUCUGCAUGGAGCCGACCUUGAAAUACCACCCUUUAAUGUUUGAUGUUCUAACGUUGACCCGUAAUCCGGGUUGCGGACAGUGUCUGGUGGGUAGUUUGACUGGGGCGGUCUCCUCCUAAAGAGUAACGGAGGAGCACGAAGGUUGGCUAAUCCUGGUCGGACAUCAGGAGGUUAGUGCAAUGGCAUAAGCCAGCUUGACUGCGAGCGUGACGGCGCGAGCAGGUGCGAAAGCAGGUCAUAGUGAUCCGGUGGUUCUGAAUGGAAGGGCCAUCGCUCAACGGAUAAAAGGUACUCCGGGGAUAACAGGCUGAUACCGCCCAAGAGUUCAUAUCGACGGCGGUGUUUGGCACCUCGAUGUCGGCUCAUCACAUCCUGGGGCUGAAGUAGGUCCCAAGGGUAUGGCUGUUCGCCAUUUAAAGUGGUACGCGAGCUGGGUUUAGAACGUCGUGAGACAGUUCGGUCCCUAUCUGCCGUGGGCGCUGGAGAACUGAGGGGGGCUGCUCCUAGUACGAGAGGACCGGAGUGGACGCAUCACUGGUGUUCGGGUUGUCAUGCCAAUGGCACUGCCCGGUAGCUAAAUGCGGAAGAGAUAAGUGCUGAAAGCAUCUAAGCACGAAACUUGCCCCGAGAUGAGUUCUCCCUGACUCCUUGAGAGUCCUGAAGGAACGUUGAAGACGACGACGUUGAUAGGCCGGGUGUGUAAGCGCAGCGAUGCGUUGAGCUAACCGGUACUAAUGAACCGUGAGGCUUAACCUU
rnacentral:rRNA from 1 species